UACGUAGGCAGCGAGCGUUGUUCGGAGUUACUGGGCGUAAAGAGUGCGUAGGCGGUUUUCUAAGUUUGGUGUGAAAUCUCCCGGCUCAACUGGGAGGGUGCGCCGAAGACUGGAAGGCUUGAGUAUGGGAGAGGUAAGCGGAAUUCCUGGUGUAGCGGUGAAAUGCGUAGAUAUCGAGAGGAACACCUGCGGCGAAGGCGGGUAGCUGGGCCGACACUGACGCUGAGGCGCGAAAGCCAGGGGAGCGAACGGG
rnacentral:rRNA from 1 species